rnacentral:rRNA from 1 species
UACGAAGGGGGCUAGCGUUGCUCGGAAUCACUGGGCGUAAAGCGCACGUAGGCGGAUCAUUAAGUCGGGGGGUGAAAUCCUGGAGCUCAACUCCAGAACUGCCUUCGAUACUGAAGAUCUCGAGUCCGGGAGAGGUGAGUGGAACUCCGAGUGUAGAGGUGAAAUUCGUAGAUAUUCGGAAGAACACCAGUGGCGAAAGCGGCUCACUGGCCCGGUACUAACGCUGAGGUGCGAAAGCGUGGGGAGCAAACAGG